rnacentral:lncRNA from 1 species
CCCAUUUCUGGUUAAGUGCUCAGAGUUCGUGGUGUAAUAAAAGCUUUCGCGCAUCUCUUCAAGUGACCUUCUCAUCCGUGAGUUUUCAAAUUGAGAUAGCUGGGACCCGGAGCUGUAACGGUGAGCUGGGACAGCUGGCUAAUAGCACUGAGCUGUUCUGGAAGAGAGAAACCUAAUGAAGUUGGAUUGACACACAUGCUGUCCAAGUGUGGGUUCCCGGGAGUAGACACCAGGAUAAGCCAGUGCACACAUUCAGCUGGCUUGAGAGGAAAACCCAGGCGGCACUGGUAGGGGUGGGAGGACGUCAGGUGCAUAAGGAGCCAGCUGGCCAUGGGUGAGUGAUCCUGAAGGUACCACUGUGGGCAGGUGGAGCUUCUCAAAUGGAGGAUCUACACAGCUGUGUGGAAAACAGAGACCUUCGGUUCAGCCUAGACAGAGCGUGACUCAGCUGAUGCACAGAACCAGCAACCUGCACAUUGUCAUCUAAAGGACUUCUUUCAAAGGCCUGUGAUCCUGUGUUAUUUGACUGCCAUCGUUUCAGGUCCAGAAUGCUACUAGGGGGAGUAAAGCCCCUAAGGCAGCCAUGAGUGAGGGUUGCAAUGGGUCACUUACGUGUAAAGGUGAGACGCAGCUUUGAACGAUAAAGUCAAAUAUGGCAUUCGGUGACAGAACCUUUGUGCCAUCAUCU